rnacentral:rRNA from 1 species
UACGGAGGAUGCAAGCGUUAUCCGGAAUGAUUGGGCGUAAAGCGUCCGCAGGUGGCUGUGUAAGUCUGCUGUCAAAGAGCGAAGCUCAACUUCGUAAAGGCAGUGGAAACUACACGGCUAGAGUGCGUUCGGGGCAGAGGGAAUUCCUGGUGUAGCGGUGAAAUGCGUAGAUAUCAAGAGGAACACCUGCGGCGAAGGCGGGUUGCUGGGCCGACACUGACGCUGAGGCGCGAAAGCUAGGGGAGCGAACGGG